UUGUUGCCUCGGCGCAUGCUGGUCUCUAGUAGGCCCCUCACCCCGGUGAGGAGACGGCACGCCGGCGGCCAAGUUAACUCUUGUUUUUACACUGAAACUCUGAGAAAAAACACAAAUGAAUCAAAACUUUCAACAACGGAUCUCUUGGUUCUGGCAUCGAUGAAGAACGCAGCGAAAUGCGAUAAGUAAUGUGAAUUGCAGAAUUCAGUGAAUCAUCGAAUCUUUGAACGCACAUUGCGCCCUCUGGUAUUCCGGAGGGCAUGCCUGUUCGAGCGUCAUUUCAACCCUCAAGCAUUGCUUGGUGUUGGGGCACUGCUUCUAACGAAGCAGGCCCUGAAAUCUAGUGGCGAGCUCGCCAGGACCCCGAGCGCAGUAGUUAAACCCUCGCUCUGGAGGGCCCUGGCGGUGCCCUGCCGUUAAACCCCCAACUUUUGAAAAUUUGACCUCGGAUCA
rnacentral:sRNA from 1 species